AAACAGCCCCCUAUGUUUUGAUUCUUUGGCAGCUUUGGACCCCAAGGCAAAAAAAAAUAUGACACGUGACACCUCACUUAAGAUGCCACGUCAGCGUUGACCGAGUCAACAAUGGAUUGGGGGUCCAAAACUGCCAAAGAAUCAAAACAUAGGGGGCUGUUU
rfam:Medicago truncatula strain A17 chromosome 5, whole genome shotgun sequence.